UACGUAGGUGGCAAGGCGUUGUCCGGAUUUACUGGGCGUAAAGAGCGCGCAGGCGGUCGUUCAAGUCGCGUGUGAAAGCCCCCGGCUCAACUGGGGAGGGUCACGCGAUACUGAUCGACUCGAAGGCAGGAGAGGGAAGUGGAAUUCCCGGUGUAGUGGUGAAAUGCGUAGAUAUCGGGAGGAACACCAGUGGCGAAGGCGACUUCCUGGCCUGUUCUUGACGCUGAGGCGCGAAAGCUAGGGGAGCAAACGGG
rnacentral:rRNA from 1 species